GAUGAACGCUAGCUACAGGCUUAACACAUGCAAGUCGAGGGGCAGCAGGAGCAAAGCUUGCUUUGCUUGCUGGCGACCGGCGCACGGGUGCGUAACGCGUAUCGAACCUGCCCUAUACUCGGGGAUAGCCUUGCGAAAGUAAGAUUAAUACCCGAUGUUGUUAUUACAUCGCAUGAUGUUUUAACCAAAGAUUUAUCGGUAUAGGAUGGCGAUGCGUGACAUUAGGUAGUAGGUGAGGUAACGGCUCACCUAGCCUACGAUGUCUAGGGGUUCUGAGAGGAAGGUCCCCCACACUGGAACUGAGACACGGUCCAGACUCCUACGGGGAGGCAGCAGUGAGGAAUAUUGGUCAAUGGUCUGACGACUGAACCAGCCAUGCCGCGUGAAGGUGACGGCCCUAUGGGUCUUAAACUUCUUUUGUAAGGGAGCUAAUAAGUCUCACGUGUGGGAUGAUGANAGUACCUUACGAAUAAGCAUCGGCUAA
rnacentral:rRNA from 1 species